UCUGCAGCCUGUAAUGGGAGAUUUUCCUGCUCAGCGAGAGGGGAGGAGAGAAGAGGCAGCAGCCGCUGAGCCAAUCCCUGCAGGGUGCUGGGAGCACUGGGGGCAGGGAGGACAGGACGUUUCGGAAGCCAGAGCCGUCGUUUGCAGAGCUGGAGAAGAGACUCAGUGAUUUCUCUCUGAAAAGUGCCAUGCUGCAGGAGGUGCUGCUGGGAU